AACCAGCACCUCAAGUGGUCAGGAUGAUUAUUGGGCCUAAAGCAUCCGUAGCCUGUUCUAUAAGUUUCCGGUUAAAUCCAUGCGCUCAACGUAUGGGCCGCCGGAAAUACUGCAGAACUAGGGAGUGGGAGAGGUAGACGUUACUCGGUAGGAAGAGGUAAAAUUCUUUGAUCUAUUGAUGACCACCUGUGGCGAAGGCGUCUUCCUGGACUGAUACUGACACUGAGGAGCGAAAGCGUGGGUAGCGAACAGG
rnacentral:rRNA from 1 species